UGUCUCAGACACAAAACAAGACAAGCUCCGGCUUUUUCACCUCACAGCGACAGUCAACCUAUAGAUUUCCUGGAAGCAACCUUCGCCACUACUGCGGGAAGUCAUCCGGACCACGAAGAGAUCAGAAUCUCGGCAAGUGCUUCCAUAUCCAUCCAUAAAAGGCCAAAUUUCGUGCCCGGUUUGCCGGCCGCCGCGUUAACCCUAACGCCCGUUCGGCAGCUCGGCAUCUCUACCAACUCAUCAGGGAGCUAUGGAAAUAGAAGUGGAGGGGACUGAAAUCGCCCCAGAAGAAAUAAACGAGGCAGGGUGGCUCGCCGCCCAUAAGAACCUACAGCGAAGCAAACCAAGCCUUAACGAAUCCAACGCCAUACCGCGUACAAGAACUAGUUCGGUAGCGCAGACGCCGUCGUUCCGUCCACGUCGGCAAGUGCCGAAGCCCCCGCCGCUGCCGGAAGACGACUUCAAAGUGGUUCUGCGACCGCGUGACGGAUUCAAUACAGCCAGCUGGAGCUCCGCGCUCAUCAACAACAACAUCAUGAGAACGACCGCUCUGGAAGCGGCGACGCAACUAGAAGAGACGAUCCGAAUCAACACCAGCCGAAAUAUCAUUAUUGUCAGCACACCAAGGGAAGACAACGCCAUCAAGUACAGCCGAAUCAAGGAGCUCAAACUACAAGAGUAUAUAUUCAGCAUGACUCCCUACAUGACGGCGCCCGAAAACUCGGCCAAAGGAGUCAUCCAUGAGAUUCCGGACUACGACACACAAGAAAAUAUUAGAAGUUUGGCGCGUAAUACCCCCGGGUCCUGCACGCCAUGCGCAUGGGCAAGACGUCCUCAGUUAUCAUCGUUUUUCAAGAUGAAGAAGUACCAUACUACAUCAACUACCGAAAUAGCACAUACCGAUGUCUUAUGUACAAGAAGAAAAUCGAAGUGUGCGGAAUAUGCCUAAAAGUCGGCCACCAGGACGAUGUGUGCCCCACCCCGAACGAAAAAUGUUGUAUCCGGUACGGCAAGCAAAACCCGCCAACGGACCAUGACUGUGAACUAGUAUGCGCUAUCUGCAACGGCAACCAUUUCUCUGGCUCAAAGCAGUGCAAGAAGCGUUUCCAAGUCCCCUACAUCAUCCGACAACGACAGUGGCAGAAACUCUCGGUGGGAGAAGAGAACCACCCCAACGAGGGCAGGCAAAGUAGAUCGCGAGAACGCCGAUCGACGCAGAACAGCCAAGAAACCAGUGCAAGUUUUUUUCCGGGCGGAUCGAGCAGCAGGAGCCGAUCUCGAUCUUACCCGAGACUAUGCUCAACUCCGAGUGCCACCGACUCUGACGGGACGCCGCGGAACCGGUCGAGUUCCGGGAGACGAACGACCCCGACUAACAGCGCUCCACAGAAAAUGUCUCACCAUGGUGGUUCAAGAAGAAUCUGCGGCUCAUUCAAUGCGAAUGGAUGGAUGAAAAACUUCAUUAGGGUCCCUUAGGGCGCGCGCAGGGGGCCGCUCCCACGUCGGGACAGAGAGGCCGAGCCUCUCCGCCGCGUCGCGGGCCCGUUGGACAGCCCAUAACUGUUCUUCGAGGUUGAGGCUGUGUAGGACCGCAUCCCAGCGUGAAGAAGUGUUGAUUUCAUCGCCGCGUACCGCGGGACAUCGCCAGAGCAUGUGAGAAGCCGGCGCUUCAUCUGAUACUUGUAAGAGGCUCCGGACUGGGCCGUGACAGCCUGUUUGUUUUUCAAGAAAGCAGGCUACGUGGGCUACCCACCGUUGUUCCAUUUGGCUUUACCAGGGCCAGGACUGUUCUGCGUGUCCCGCCAUCUUCCUGAGUGUACUGUAACCACGGCCUCCUGUCGCUUCUCUUGGAGGCGGUGUUUCACUGGAAAGCUGGCUUCACUCUGGCAGCGGCGACGUGCGCACGCCAUUUAAUCAACUUGUCUGGAUUUUUGCAGAAUUGGCACUUCGGUCUUGCUGCGCUGGACUACUGUGGCCCUGCGCGAGAGCGUCCUACAAUUCUCGCCUUCAUCCCACAUUUGCGCUCUGACCAGUUGUUGCAAGCACCACAAUCUAGCGGAAUCGACUUCCUCAGCCGUGCGUGUCUAAAAAUUUUAUUGACGCAUACGUGCAGGUCAUUGCCUUCCCCAAUUUUUAUGUCCUCCCAAGUGAUUCGUUGCCCGGAGCCUGUUGUUUUGUAGAGCGACAAUGAAUCUUCACGCAGCCGUGCCUUAGCCAUG